AUUGUUCAGUGUAUAUUAAUUAUUUAUUUUCAUUUUACUUAAAAUAUAUGUUUUUGUUAAGUUAACAUAUGUUUUUCUAAUCAAGUCUACGUAAUUGUGUCUAUUAUUCAACGUACAUAAUACUAAUGUGUUACUUGAUCGCAUAACAUUUAAGUUAAGUCAAUUAGGAUCGAUAUACCUUGUAUAUCCACAAGGUGGCAGUAAUGCAAAAACAGUUGUAAUGAAACCGCGCAGAACAAGAAGGUUUCACGGCUUGUGCCUGCUCAUGCGCAAGACUUCAAAUUUAACUGAAAAAGGCUGUUUUGGCGCCAAGCUGCUGUUUCUUUGAGAGGUAAGACCACUUUUUUCUUUGACUAUGUUGUGUAGUAUCUAUAUGUCCAGCAUGGUUAUAUUUUGCGUUUGUCUUACAAGACAUGUUAUAUCGUUUGCGUGCGCUUGUUUUACAUUAGUUUUACUGGGUCCUGGACAUGCUUAUUUUGUGGACUGUAUCCUGCCUUUACCUGCUCCCUCCUAUACUGAUGUGGUGUAUGUGGUACUGCUGAGCUUGUAUGUGGUGGAAGCAGAAUAUGUGAGGAUUACUACUGCUGCACAUGUUCCAAGGCUUUUUACACAACUUGACCAAUACACUGACCAGCUCAUAAAAGUCUUCAAGAAAAAAGGAGGCGUUGCAGGGAAGAAAAUUAGACAAACUUUGGCCCCAGCCACACAGAAGGAAACUAUUGAAAAGGGGAGGGAGUGUGUCCUCAGGGCACUACCUUUUUACCUGAAUGAAGACCCAAGCAUCCUCUUCAAAGAAUAAUUGCUACAGCUGUUCAGAGGGAGCUGGAACAAAUUACCCUUGCUAUCUUUACCAUCGAAAGAGCUGAUGCCAGCACUCCUCCAGCCGAUGUGGGUAUAACCAUCUAGUGUGUCCUGCAUGACCUGGAAGACCUGGCCUCUGCAUGUGCACUCUUAAUGGGUGGGAUAUAUGCACUGAAUCUCAGUUAACCUCAAGACUGAAAGCUAAGAGACAAUCAAAAGUAUUGAGAUUUAAAGGAUUUAAUUGAGAGAUGAUACUGCACCAGAAAUGUUGAAGGGUGGUGUGUAUAUUAGCGUUCAAGGCAUAUUGUUAUGAGGUGGAAAUAUGUUCAUAUUCAGUUUGUGUUACAUUGUGUGCAUUGUAAAGGUAAUUGCAAUACAUACUAAAAAUAAGGGUAAGUUAGGAGGUUGAUCUGAUAUCCUCGUGUUGGUGUUGUUCGCAGAUCAUCAUACUAAAUGUUGUUCCAGGAUCAACAUUGCAAGUGACCAAUCAGAAUGUGGUGACGUCA